rnacentral:rRNA from 1 species
CCUACGGGAGGCAGCAGUGGGGAAUAUUGCACAAUGGGGGAAACCCUGAUGCAGCGACGCCGCGUGAGUGAAGAAGUAUCUCGGUACGUAAAGCUCUAUCAGCAGGGAAGAUAAUGACGGUACCUGACCAAGAAGCCCCGGCUAACUACGUGCCAGCAGCCGCGGUAAUACGUAGGGGGCAAGCGUUAUCCGGAUGUACUGGGUGUAAAGGGAGCGUAGACGGCAGCGCAAGUCUGGAGGGAAAUGCCGGGGCCCAACCCCGGAACUGCUCUGGAAACUGUGAAGCUGGAGUGCAGGAGAGGUAAGCGGAAUUCCUGGUGUAGCGGUGAAAUGCGUAGAUAUCAGGAGGAACACCGGCGGCGAAGGCGGCUUACUGGACUGUAACUGACGUUGAGGCUCGAAGGCGUGGGGAGCAAACAGGAUUAGAUACCCUUGUAGUC